rnacentral:tRNA from 1 species
AGCUUCAAAUUGAUUUGUUUUGAAAACAAAAAUAGGCAUAAGCCUGAAGCUU